GGGGGGGUUCCCGAGUGGCCAAAGGGAACAGACUGUAAAUCUGUCGGCGAACGCCUUCGGAGGUUCGAAUCCUCCCCCCCCCACCA
rnacentral:tRNA from 1 species